CAGCAGCCGCGGUAAUACGGAGGGGGCUAGCGUUGUUCGGAAUUACUGGGCGUAAAGCGCACGUAGGCGGCUUGGUAAGUUAGAGGUGAAAGCCUGGAGCUCAACUCCAGAAUUGCCUUUAAGACUGCCGAGCUAGUAGGUGAGAGAGGUAAGUGGAAUUCCGAGUGUAGAGGUGAAAUUCGUAGAUAUUCGGAAGAACACCAGUGGCGAAGGCGGCUCACUGGCUCAUUCUAGACGCUGAGGUGCGAAAGCGUGGGGAGCAAACAGGAUUAGAUACCCCCGUAGUCCCUGUCUCUUAUAC
rnacentral:rRNA from 1 species